AAUGAUCUGGAAAUGUUGGAAAGGCCAUAGCUGCCGUUGGCACCCAGUAUGAUGUGGACAACAUUGCUCUGGGGGAAACGCCAAAAAAAUAAAGCUAAAAGAAACAGUAUACACCUACAGCAAGAGAAAAGAAAAGAAAAAAAAAGGUAAAAAAUGGAAGAAGAUCAAGCGUCUUCUCUAAAGGGAGAUGAAGCAGCAGUGAAUUUAGAAGAAGAAGAAGAGGGUUUCAAGAUCUUGGGUUCUACAUAACUACUUCCAAUUGUAAAACACAACAUAUACGGCCUUGAAGACGAAUUAAAGCAAGCAUAAUCAGAUGAACCAAAUGAACAACACUGAUUUAAGGAAAAGAAACCAGAAUUCCCAAAAUCCAU
rnacentral:lncRNA from 1 species